CUUUCGUCAAACAUGACAACAUAUGGUUUCUCACUAACGUUGCACGAUAGCUCCUUCUUGAUGAAUGAAGCGAUGCCAUAUUUGACAACAUAUGCCGUUUUAUUUUCACCACAGAUGAAUGACUUAGCAAGCUGCGAAUCGGGGAACAUGGCAGCAAAAACGCCACUUAUGUCAUCGUUAGAUUUAAAUGAAUUGUGCCUCGUCACAGUAUGGAGAACCCACAGUACCUCUGCCUUUUGGGUGUCUGGCGGUGAAAUGAAACUUGUUAUAGCCGACUGAGAGGUGGCGUCUGAACUUGUAACGUCGUUAGGUCGUGCUGCAAACAAUGCAGGGAUUAACCUGGCCCCGCUAUGGCUAGCUGCUGCAACGUAACGCUGGUGCUUUCCUCCUUUCAUAUGCGACUCGACAGCUUUGAGCCCCAUGGUCCCUAAUGAAAAGGUCUUUUUGCAUAAUUUACACAUUGCCUCGUUGUUUUUAGCCGGCGCCAACCACCUCCUAAAUGCAUCCUCUUCCAUCCACUUUCGUUAAAUUUGCACUUCCCCAUCUUCUUUGCAUUUUGAACCUCACAUCGACAACCGCGUAAUGGCGACACGCAGCCUGACGUCAGCGUCUGUAGCCGACGUACCGUAAACAGCUAUUAAAUCGCGGAGACUCAUUUCACACAAUACUAAAUCAACUAUUAGAUGUUUUACAGUGGGCCACUGUGCUUUCUCAUUGCCAUUAAGCGCACCGGCAAAAAAUGUAAUACAGCAAUUUUACGGUAAAUUUAAGACCUUAAUUACCCAAAUUUUAAUUUAAGACAUUUUAAGACUUUUUAAGGACCCGCGGGAACCCUGUAUGGGCUGUUGAGAAAUCUAUGGACAAUUUGAUUUGAAUGGAAAAUAAGUUCUUCAAGAAAGUGAUCUGUGUUGCACAAAAUUUAAAAAAUGUCCCCUUAAUGCUGGCCAAGAAGCAUCAAAUGGCAAUUGUCUAUCACAUGGAUGCCAUUUCUUUUUUCAAGCCAAGAGUACAAAGGACAGAGUGUGUAGUUCACGUGUCACAGACUUUUCUGAAAAUGUUUAGGAAUAUCUGCAGCUGCGGAGUCCUAAUUGUUGUACCACACUCGUUUCAUCCAGUGUUUACAUUGAUGGCAUUAAGUACUGCCCAGACAUGGAGGUUUCAGUUGGAUGUUGUUCAGGUUUUCCCAAGUUCAUGCAGAUUGAGAAAAUCUUAGCAAUCAACACUGACAUAAUAUUCCUCUGCAAACCACAGACUGCAUGGUUGAGCAUUUGCUCUCUUAUGAGUUGUGCAGUUUGCAUUUACUGCAAGUUGUUCAGCCUUCUCUAAUAAAUGACCCCUUCCCUUUGGCAGCUUAUAAUAUCCUUUUUUCUUUGUUUUGUAAUUUUAGUUUGCCAUGUCGAUGACUCUUCACGUUACUGUGCAUGACCGUGACAUGUCUGUGAAAUCUUGGAGAAGUGGCCAGCACUUUUCACAGAAAAUCCCAGAGUUUAUUGCUAUGAAUUGUGUAUUUGAAUGUUAAUAACCUCUUCAUAUUUUUGCUCAGGUCUUUGCAAAAUUCAAUCGCAUAUCUGGGGAAAAUCUGAGUUCUAUGCAGCGAUGAACACGCAUUCUGUAUGUUUGACUGAAAAUUUCGGCGAAAAGGAGGAAAUCAGGGAAGAACACUUGAUGAAAUUAUGCAUCAUGUUGACUCAAGUCAUCUGAUGUAACACUGCAGUGCUUCAGGGUCUUCCAAUCCUCUUGGGGAUGACCCAGAGUAAUUUUUCAGGAUGGGUUUCGAUUUAGAUGUAGAUGCAGGCUUCAGCGAAUUAGAUGUUGGACUGCUCACAGUUUUACCUGAAGGCAAGCCUGCCAAACGUCCACAUGCCCUUAACGUGAAUGCAAUGGAGGGAAGAAUUUUCAUGGAUGAUAUCCCAAAUUUACCACAUUCUGUAUGUCUUCACUUUUCUUUGAUCUAUGCUCUAAAUUUAGACCAUCCAAAGGCAAUGAGGAACACAUUUGAUUUUAUUCAGCGGGUGUUUCUGUCUUUUGGACAAAAAAGACAUUUCUGUCUUUUAAGGGUCUCCAAACUCUUAAAAAUGGUCUUUUAAGCUGAACUUGUUUCUGGCAUAUUUUGCUGUAAUUGCAGUUCAGUUUAAGAAUCUUUCCAAAGACACAUGCAGGUUUUUCCAAAUUGUAAAGGCUCUUUUUUUUUUUUUAUUAAAUACUUUUUUGGAGUUUGCACCGUGCCUGUUCUGCAAAUGCUCUAUACCUUGUUUAUGGUCCAGAUAUUAUGUUGUCAAGCAGCAGAGUGCUGCCAGAGGUCUAAGUCUUGAGAACAGAUAGUUUUUUUGUGUGUUGUUCUCAGAGUUUCAGCUGUUUAUUAUGCAAAUAUACAGUUGAGAAUUUCAAACUUGUUAAGUGCGUUAUUUGAACUAGAAAAAUUAUGUUCAGUUUACUUAGAGAAUGUGGAAACCGAUUGCACGUAGUAUUUUAAGUGUACACCACUUAAAAGUGAUACAGUAAACUCAUGUUGAGAUUAGUGGUAUUUCAGAUGUAAAGUGAACAAAUUGUAUUAAAUUUAAGUUAAUUGACUUAAUAGAGUAAUCUACUAAUAAAUAAUUUGUAAGGUUACUAAUUAAUUUAUAGAACAUUAACAAAAAAAAUUAAGUUAACUAGAAAUGUACUAUUAAGUUUAAUAACAAGUUGACAUUACUUGCAUAGGAACAUUAAUAUAACUUCAUUUUAGUAAGUAAGUUUUAUUUGCAGAAAUAAGGCAAUAGGUUUCCUUAAUUUUUAAGUAAACUGAACAUGUAAACUUUUACAGUGUAUGAAGGUAGCACAUUUAAAAUACUGUCUUGUGUAAGACAAUGUAAUGUUUAAACUUUAUUGUACAAAGUAUGGCUAAGUAAUAACAGUUUGAUAUUGAAGACAAAGUGUGCCAUUUGUAGUAUUUUGAAUAAGCCAAAGGUGUUACGGAGCAUAUACUUUUUACUCAAAUAUAAUACACUUAUGGUAUAUUGUUUGUAUGUUUCAAAUACACUUGCAAUUAAUUUGUAAUGUACUUGUAACACAACUAUAAUACACAUAUGGUAUAUUGUUUGUAUGUUUCAAAUACACUUGCAAUUAAUUUGUAAUGUACUUGCAAUUAAUUUGUAAUGUACUUGUACCACAAAUAAAGUAUACUUAAUAUCACUAAUCAAGCAUGGAAUUACCCUA